GUGCCAGCAGCCGCGGUAAAACGUAGGAGGCGAGCGUUAUCCGGAUUUACUGGGUGUAAAGCGCGUGCAGGCGGAUCGGAAAGUUGGAUGUGAAAGCUCCCGGCUUAACUGGGAGAGGUCGUUCAAAACUACCGGUCUUGAGUACAGUAGAGGGAAGUGGAAUUCCGGGUGUAGUGGUGAAGUGCGUUGAUAUCCGGGGAAAGCCCAGUGGCGAAAGCGGCUUUCUGG
rnacentral:rRNA from 1 species